CCCUUAGACGUUCUGGGAUGCACGCGCGUUACACUGAUUCGUUCAACGAGUUUAUGACCUUGCCUGAUGAGGUGGGGGAAUCUUUUCAAAUCGCAUCGUGAUGGGGAUAGAGUAUUGUAACUGUUAGUCUUCAACGAGGAAUUCCUAGUAAGUACGUGUCAUCAGCUCGUACUGAUUAUGUCCCUGCCCUUUGUACACACCGCCCGUCGCUCCUACCGAUUGAGUGCUCAGGUGAAUAGUAUGGACUGCAUCAGUGUUCGGUCUCCGAAUGUUGACGCGAGAAAUUCUGUGAAUCUUAUUGCUUAGAGGAAGGAGAAGUCGUAACA
rnacentral:rRNA from 1 species